AGAGUUUGAUCAUGGCUCAGAACGAACGCUGGCGGCGUGCCUAACACAUGCAAGUCGAACGGAAUUAAGGGGCUUGCUCCUUAAUUUAGUGGCGCACGGGUGAGUAAUGCGUAGAUAAUCUACCCAAGGAUCCGGGAUAACAUUUCGAAAGGGGUGCUAAUACCGGAUAAGCCCACGGGGUCUUCGGACUCUGCGGGAAAAGGGGGGGACCUUCGGGCCUUCUGUCCUCGGAUGAGUCUACGUACCAUUAGCUAGUUGGUGGGGUAAAGGCCUACCAAGGCUACGAUGGUUAGCUGGUCUGAGAGGAUGAUCAGCCACACUGGAACUGAGACACGGUCCAGACUCCUACGGGAGGCAGCAGUGGGGAAUUUUGCGCAAUGGGGGAAACCCUGACGCAGCAACGCCGCGUGAGUGAUGAAGGCCUUCGGGUCGUAAAGCUCUGUCAGUGGGAAAGAAAUGUACGAGGGUCAAUACCCCUUGUACUUGACGGUACCCACAAAGGAAGCACCGGCUAACUCCGUGCCAGCAGUCGCGGUAAUACGGAGGGUGCGAGCGUUGUUCGGAAUUAUUGGGCGUAAAGCGCGUGUAGGCGGCUCCUUAAGUCUGAUGUGAAAGCCCCGGGCUCAACCUGGGAAGUGCAUUGGAAACUGGGGAACUUGAAUACGGGAGAGGGUAGUGGAAUUCCUGGUGUAGGAGUGAAAUCCGUAGAUAUCAGGAGGAACACCGGUGGCGAAGGCGGCUACCUGGACCGAUAUUGACGCUGAGACGCGAAAGCGUGGGGAGCAAACAGGAUUAGAUACCCUAGUAGUCC
rnacentral:rRNA from 1 species